GCUUGUCUCAAAGAUUAAGCCAUGCAUGUCUAAGUAUAAACACCUUUAUACUGUGAAACUGCGUACAGCUCAUUAAAUCAGUAAUAAUUUAUUUGAUGGUGACUUACUACAUGGAUAACCGUAGUAACCUAGAGCUAAUACAUGCACAAAAUCCCGACUUCACGGAAGGGAUGUAUUUAUUAGAUAAAAAGCCAAUGCGGGUUCUGCCCGGUUUUGUGGUGAAUCAUAGUAACUGUUCGAAUCGCAUGGCUUCACGCCGGCGAUAGUUCAUUCAAAUUUCUGCCCUAUCAGCUUUCGACGGUAGUGUAGUGGACUACCGUGGCGUUAACGGGUAACGGAGAAUUAGGGUUCGGUUCCGGAGAGGGAGCCUGAGAAACGGCUACCACAUCCAAGGAAGGCAGCAGG
rnacentral:rRNA from 1 species